ACUGACUGCGAGAGCACGGGGGCAUUGCUUCAAGAGAUGGCAAAGCAGGCAGCUGCACCCCUCCUUCCCGGAGUCCUCCUCCUCUUCUCCAUCCUCCCGGCUUCCCAGCAAGGAGGUGCUGCAGGUCUGCUCCCAGGAGGUGGCUUCCCCGGGGGCGUCUUCCCAGGUGCUGCAUCCGCGGCUGCUCUUAAGGCUGCUGCGAAAGCUGGUGAG
rnacentral:lncRNA from 1 species